rnacentral:rRNA from 1 species
CAAGGGGAGCGGCAGACGGGUGAGUAACGCGUGGGAAUCUACCCAGCUCUACGGAAUAACUCAGGGAAACUUGUGCUAAUACCGUAUACGCCCUUCGGGGGAAAGAUUUAUCGGAGUUGGAUGAGCCCGCGUUGGAUUAGCUAGUUGGUGGGGUAAAGGCCUACCAAGGCGACGAUCCAUAGCUGGUCUGAGAGGAUGAUCAGCCACAUUGGGACUGAGACACGGCCCAAACUCCUACGGGAGGCAGCAGUGGGGAAUAUUGGACAAUGGGCGCAAGCCUGAUCCAGCCAUGCCGCGUGUGUGAUGAAGGCCUUAGGGUUGUAAAGCACUUUCACCGGAGAAGAUAAUGACGGUAUCCGGAGAAGAAGCCCCGGCUAAC